CAAAGAUUUGGUCCUGGUCUUAUAAUUAGUUAGAAGUAGGAUUACACAUGCAAAACUCUUUAAACCAGUGUCAAAUCCCUCGUAAUUUUGCCUAAUAAACUUUGAGGAGAGGAUAUCAAGCACAUAAUUAUAGCUAAAGACGUCUUGCCUAGCCACGCCCCCACGGGAACCAGCAGUGAUAAAAAUUUAGCAAUGAACGAAAGUUUGACUAAGCUAUGCUUCUAAGGGUUGGUAAAUUUCGUGCCAGCCACCGCGGUCAUACGAUUAACCCAAAUUAAUUAUUCUUCCGGCGUAAAAUGUGUUAUAUAUAAAUAAAAAUAGAAUUAAAAACCAACUUAUAUGUGAAAAUUCAUUGUUGGAGUUAAAAUCAAUGACGAAAGUAAUUCUAAUUAAUAAACACACGAAAGCUAGGGUCCAAACUGGGAUUAGAUACCCCACUAUGCCUAGCCGUAAACCUAAAUAGUUAAUUAAACAAAUCUAUUUGCCAGAGAACUACUAGCCACCGCUUAAAACUCAAAGGACUUGGCGGUACUUUAUAUCCAUCUAGAGGAGCCUGUUCUAUAAUCGAUAUACCCCGCUCUACCUUACCAUCCCUUGCUAAUUCAGCCUAUAUACCGCCAUCUUCAGCAAACCUUAAAAAGGAAGAAUAGUAAGCACAAGAACAAUCAUAAAAACGUUAGGUCAAGGUGUAGCCUAUGGGAUGGGAAGCAAUGGGCUACAUUUUCUUUAUAAGAACAUACGAAACCCUUUAUGAAAUUUAAAGGAUAAAGGAGGAUUUAGUAGUAAAUUAAGAGUAGAGAGCUUAAUUGAAUAGAGCAAUGAAGUACGUACACACCGCCCGUCACCCUCCUCAAAUUAAACACAAAAUAACCCAUACAUAAUAACAAAAAUAAGUUUAUGAGAGGAGAUAAGUCGUAACAAGGUAAGCAUACUGGAAAGUGUGCUUGGAAUAAUCAUG
rnacentral:ncRNA from 1 species